rnacentral:ribozyme from 1 species
UUUCUACGAGUUCCGCGGUCAGAUCAACGAGUUGGAGCGUCGGUUGGCGUCUGUGAUCACGCAAGCCUUCGACGACAGUACGACGGUG